AAGACCACAGGUGAGCACCUUUUGUUUUACAACAACAAUGGAAGCCGUUGCAGAGAGAGGAAGAGGAAGAGGAAGAGGAAGAGAAAGAGGGAGGGUGAGAAUGAGAGGGGGAGGAAAAGUGAGAGGUAGGGGUAGAGGAGUUCAUGGCCAAAGAAGACAACAACUUUCAAAUGAAAUCAGAGCAACCUUAGUUGAUCAUGUCAUCAACCAUGGGCUGACAAUGUGAGAGGCUGGACAGAGAGUGCAGCCCAACUUGAGCCGUUUUACUGUCGCCUGUGUCAUCCGGACAUUUAGACUGGAGUACAGGGCUGAGAGAGGCAACCAUGGUGGAGGAAGGGGCCAAAUGUUCACCGGGGUACAGGAAGCUGCCAUUGUAAACUUGGUUUUGGAAAAUAAUGGAUUCAGAUUAUGAGAAAUUCAAAGCCACAUCAUCCAAGACAACACAUAUAUUCAACAACAUUCAACGAGUCAGUCUGUCCACAUUGGCUCGUAUUCUCAAGCGAAACCAAAUCAGAAUUAAACAACUUUAUAAGGUGCCGUUUGAGAGAAACUCUCAAAGAAACAAAGAGGUCAGACGAACAUAUGUGGAUGGAGUACUGGAAAUGGAUGCUCAAUCCCACAUGAGUUCAUCUUUAUAGAUGAGGCUGGGUUCAACCUAGCAAAGAGCAGAAGAAGGGGGAGAAACGUCAUUGGCCACAGAGCCAUUAUAGAUGUUCCUGGCCAACGUGGUGGGAACAUCACAAUGUGCGCUGCCAUCUCCAAUACGCAUGGUGUCCUCCACCGUCAUGCCAACCUUGGACCAUACAACACAGCCCAUAUUCUCACAUUUCUGGACAGACUCCACAACAUUCUCAUACCACCAGAGCGUAUGAAUGAUGCAGACCAUCAAAGAACCCGGUACGUUGUAGUAUGGGACAACGUGAGCUUUCAUCGUGCAGCCCCAGUCCAAAACUGGUUUGCUGACCACCCACCAUUUCUUGUGCAAUGACUCCCAUCAUACUCACCAUUUUUGAACUCCAUAGAAGAGUUAUUUUCGGCAUGGCGGUGGAAGGUAUACGACCGGCAGCCCUUUGUGAGCAUGCCUCUUGUGGAGGCUAUGGAAGAGGCAUGUGAUGAGAUUGAUGUGGGUGCGAUUCAGGGAUGGAUAAGGCACUCAAGGCACUUCUUCCCUCGAUGUCUGGCAAGGGAAGAUAUUGCCUGUGAUGUGGACGAGGCGUUGUGGCCAGACCCAGCUGUGACGUGGACGAGGCGUUGUGGCCAGACCCAGCUGUGAUGUGGACGAGGUGUUGUGGCCAGACCCAGCUGUGCGGCAAGAUGCUGCCUAAUUAUUUUUCUUGCCUCUUUUUUUCUCUAUAUUUUUUCUGCACAUUUUUUCUGCAAUUUUCUUUUUCAGUUUACUGUUUUUUUGUGAGCAUAUUUUUGUUCAGUCCAAUGUAAAUAUAUCUGCUGUGCAUAUGUUGCACUGACUUGUUUGGUGAAAAAUGAAGAAAUACUUUUUUCAACAGCAUGUGUGUGUAUCUGCAAAUAUUUCUGUGCAUCUGAAGAAUUUUCAACAAUUUGAACUAUUUUAGUAUUAUGGCAAAGCAUACUAAAGAUGAGAGUGCUUUUCAUUAUGCCCAACAGUGUGUAGUUGGUUAGACAAAAAUCUGGUAAUAUGAAUGAAGUGUGUGCAAUUUCGUGCAAACGUUUGAUUUUGAUAAUGCUAUAUGUAGUUUUGGUUGCAGUGCUUCAUUUUGUAGGAUAUAUGAGGUAUUUUGCAGUUUGGGGGUGUGGUUUUGUGAGUUGUGUUAAGUAUUUUGAUAAAACCAGCCUAGUUUGCAAAAUUGUGCUUUAGCAAUUGGGAAAAACUGUAAUAAAUGGAAAGCACAAUGUUCAGGGCCAUACAAUUUGCCCAUUGUACAGUAUACAGCCUACAAUGCAC